AAUUUUUCGCAAUGGGGGAAACCCUGACGAAGCAACGCCGCGUGGGCGACGAAGGCCUUCGGGUCGUAAAGCCCUGUGGCGCGGGACGAACAGCUUGAGUUCAAAUAGGGCUCAGGUUUGACGGUACCGCGUCAGCAAGCACCGGCUAACUCUGUGCCAGCAGCCGCGGUAAGACAGAGGGUGCGAACGUUGCCCGGAAUCAUUGGGCGUAAAGCGCGUGUAGGCGGCAUCGCACGUCGGGUGUGAAAGCCCGGGGCUCAACCCCGGCAGUGCACCCGAAACGACGAUGCUAGAGUGCUGGAGAGGCGGGUGGAAUUCCUGGUGUAGAGGUGAAAUUCGUAGAUAUCAGGAGGAACACCGGUGGCGAAGGCGGCCCGCUGGCCAGCGACUGACGCUGAGACGCGAAAGCGUGGGGAGCAAAC
rnacentral:rRNA from 1 species